UGGGUGAUUGGUGAAGUGUUGUUAGCUUAGCUUCCAGCUUCUCGUAGAAAAGACAGUCCUUGAAUGACUUGAGAUUUUCUUCUCUCUCCUCUCUAGAACCAAGAUUUUGGACUUGUCCUUUCAGCAACCCAACCCCAACAGCCAUCCCUCAAAAUCUUGAGAGAAAGAGAGAGGAGUCCAAAACAACGAAUAUGAACCACGAAUCUUAAUAUUUUCUGGGAUUUUAUAAAAUUAUUUGCUAAUAUAUAUUGUUGGGGGAUCCGCAGAGCUUUCUGACACUGCUAGCCACUUUGUGAAUAGUAAGGUUCCUUGAUUCCUGUAAUAUAUUGUGAAGGGGAAAGGUGAUCUGGAUUACGCAAUUGUAAAUAGAUUGAUGUGCUGAAAGGAAUGUGAUUGUCUCGUGUGUGUGGCACUGCAUCAUUGUGAUUUAUAUAGCAAACAGUUGGGGUGAUUUUUUCACCCAAGCAGGGAAAUGCCUUGUAAUUAUUUUUUGAGACUCAGUGGCACAUUACGGAAGGGAGGGUGGAGAUCAAUAUCGGGGCAAGAUAGUGGAGUCCAAGCUCAGAUAGAAGUUUUGACUGGCCUAGGGAAAUCUUUGCUUGGCAACUCAAGGUUGACCUGCACUGUGCCCUCUGAAACAUUUACUGACAAGCAUGUUUUUGUGCAACCUCGUAUGGUUGCUGCAGGUCAGGCAAAUUUACAUAAUGUCAACCAGAUAAAGAAUCUUCCAGUUUUUGGAGCAGUUUCUAGUGCAAGUUCAUUUGUGUCUUUGUUAGGACCUUCAUUUCUAGUUUGUGGGUAUCACGUUGAUUGUCUUCUAUCAGAGCCUAGUCAGGUUACAGUAGGAGUCAACCCUCAAAAGGUAUUCAUGGCUGUCUGUGGAUCUAGAUUAUCUCUUGCGGAGUGCUCUACAAAUAAUUUGAUUUCCAGGCGUAUGCAACCUGGUGUGGCAGCGUAUCAUUCUUUCACUUGUGGGAAAAGAAGCUCUGGAAAUUAUAGAAAUGCUAGCUUGAGUUUCAGGAGUAAAGAACAGCCUAAUAAUUUCUUGAUUUAUGGAUAUUUCAUGCACAACGUUGUGAAGAAUCCACACCGAAGAUUUUGCUUCGAGGGCUUCCACAUCUCAGUAUACUUCUCUGCUCGCUCUGCUCCUAAUGUGUCCAUAGAUAACUCAGUGUGUCAGGAACAGCAAUCAAGUUCUGUCGAUUCCUCUAAGCUGGAGAUCCCAACAGGGAGAACUCUGAAACUAAAUUCAGGAUCAUGCUAUCUGCCCCAUCCUGAUAAAGAAGAAACUGGUGGAGAGGAUGCUCAUUUUAUUUGUAUGGAUGGACAAGCCAUUGGGGUAGCCGAUGGUGUCGGUGGAUGGGCUGAUAUUGGGGUUGACUCAGGACAGUAUGCUCGUGAGCUUAUGUCCAAUUCUGUUUGUGCAAUCCAAGAAGAACCAAGUGGUUCCAUUGACCCAGCCAGAGUCCUGGAGAAAGCUUACAUAAGAACGAAAUCCAGAGGGUCAUCAACUGCUUGUAUUAUUGCUCUUACAGAGCAGGGGAUAGUGGGUUUAUGGUGGUUAGAGAUGGCUGUACGGUUUUCAGAUCCCCAGUUCAGCAGCAUGAUUUCAAUUACCCGUAUCAGCUGGAGAGUGAUAAUGGUGGAGAUUUGCCUAGCUCUGGACAGAUCAAUGCCUGUUCGGGCGCUGCAGGUGUUUAUCAUUUCUGUUACCCCAGGAGAUGUUGUCAUUGCUGGGACUGACGGGCUGUUUGACAAUUUGUAUAACAAUGACAUUACUACUGUAGUAGUUCAAGCUGUGAGAGGGGGAUUAGGGCCUCAGUUUGCGGCCCAGAAGAUAGCAGCAUUGGCACGGCAACGAGCACAGGACAAAAACAGGCAGACACCAUUUUCUGCUGCAGCCCAAGCAGCAGGGUUCCGAUAUACUGGUGGAAAGCUUGAUGACAUCACCGUAGUGGUUUCGUACAUUACUCACAACGACAAAGAAAGCCUCAGUGGCUCUAGUUAGAGCCUGUAACUUGAUGUGGGUUUUUUAAUCAUUUUCCAACAAAAAAUCAGAUUGCUUUCUGUUGGGAAAUGCUAAAGUUUCGUAUGCGCAUCUUAGCACAAGGUAAAGACAUCAAGAAACUGAAGUUCAAAUUUUUUUUUAAGGAAACACAUCGGAUUGGUACAACAAGAUCCGAGUUUUUUGGCUACAUUAAUCCGAAAACAUUCUUAUGGUUAAGAGGGAGCCACAAAAAGAGAUUAUAGAAACAGCGAAGCUCGCUAAUGCACAUAGUUUCAUCAUUGCCCUUCCGGAGGACUAUUCGACUAAAAUUGGUGAGAACUGUGUUCAACUUUUUGAUGGGCAAAAACAAAGAGUUGCGAUUGCACGCGCUAUUACACGAGUGAAAAUUGGACACGAUAUUAGUAGAUACGACACCCAUACAUUUAAAAUUACUAUAUAUCAUUUUGAAUCAUGGGGUCUCGAUUUCACUCUAAACUAGUAAAUGAAUGUUUGGAACGUGAUAGAAGAUUUGUAUUUUAGAACGAAUAGAUGUAUUAUGUUUUUCGUACG